AUACGUAGGGUGCGAGCGUUGUCCGGAAUUACUGGGCGUAAAGAGCUCGUAGGUGGUUUGUCGCGUCGUCUGUGAAAUUCCGGGGCUUAACUCCGGGCGUGCAGGCGAUACGGGCAUAACUUGAGUACUGUAGGGGAGACUGGAAUUCCUGGUGUAGCGGUGAAAUGCGCAGAUAUCAGGAGGACCACCGGGGGCGAAGGCGGGUCUGCGGGAAGUAACUGCCGAUGGGAAGCGAAAGCUUGGGUUGCUAACAGGUUUAGAUCCCCUGGUAGUCCUUGCCGUAAACGGUGGGCGCUAGGUGGAGGGGUCUUCCACGCCUUCUGUGUCUUAGUUAACGCAUUAAGCGCCCCUCCUGGGGAGUAAGGCCGCAAGGCUAAAACGCAAAUGAAUGGUCGGGG
rnacentral:rRNA from 1 species